rnacentral:rRNA from 1 species
GAUUAACGCUGGCGGCGUGCCUAACACAUGCAAGUCGAACGAUGAAACUUAACUGAUUUCUUCGGAAUGAUUUUAAGUGGAUUAGUGGCGGACGGGUGAGUAACGCGUGAGUAACCUGCCUUGGAGAAGGGGAUAGCCUUUGGAAACGAAGAAUAAUACCCUAUGAUAUGAUAAUAUCUCAUGAUAUUAUCAUCAAAGAUUUAUCGCUCUAAGAUGGACUUGCGUCUGAUUAGUUAGUUGGUGAGGUAACAGCUCACCAAGGCAGCGAUCAGUAGCCGGCUUGAGAGAGUGUACGGCCACAUUGGGACUGAGACACGGCCCAGACUCCUACGGGAGGCAGCAGUGGGGAAUUUUGCACAAUGGGGAAACCCUGAUGCAGCGACGCCGCGUAAUUUAGAAGGCCUUCGGGUUGUAAAAAUCUUUUGUAUGGGAAGAAAAUGACAGUACCAUACGAAUAAGGACCGGCUAAUUACGU